UACGUAGGGUGCGAGCGUUGUCCGGAAUUAUUGGGCGUAAAGGGCUCGUAGGCGGUCUGUUGCGUCAGGAGUGAAAACUCGGGGCUUAACCCCGAGCCUGCUUCUGAUACGGGCAGACUAGAGGUAUGCAGGGGAGAACGGAAUUCCUGGUGUAGCGGUGAAAUGCGCAGAUAUCUGGAGGAACACCGGUGGCGAAGGCGGCAUCCUGGACCGGUAUUGACGCUGAGGCGCGAAAGCUAGGGGAGCAAACGGG
rnacentral:rRNA from 1 species